rnacentral:rRNA from 1 species
UACGAAGGUCCCAAGCGUUAUCCGGAUUUAUUGGGUUUAAAGGGUGUGUAGGCGGACUUUUAAGUCAGCGGUGAAAUCUCCGGGCUCAACCCGGAAACUGCCAUUGAUACUAUUUGUCUUGAAUGUUGUUGAGGUGGGCGGAACGGGUCAUGUAGCGGUGAAAUGCAUAGAUAUGACCCGGAACACCGAUUGCGAAGGCAGCCCACUAAGCAACGAUUGACGCUGAGGCACGAAAGCGUGGGGAUCAAACAGG